rnacentral:tRNA from 1 species
GGCAAAGUAAGCUAAAAAAACUAUUGGGCCCAUACCCCAAAAAUGCUGGUUAACAUCCAGCCUUUGCUA